rnacentral:rRNA from 1 species
UACGUAGGGACCAAGCGUUGUUCGGAUUUACUGGGCGUAAAGGGCGCGUAGGCGGCAAUUCAAGUCAGCUGUGAAAUCUCCGGGCUUAACUCGGAACGGUCAGCUGAUACUGCUUUGCUAGAGUGCAGAAGGGGCAAUCGGAAUUCUUGGUGUAGCGGUGAAAUGCGUAGAUAUCGUGAGGAAGACCAGUGGCGAAGGCGGGUCUCUGGACAGUUCCUGACGCUGAGGCGCGAAGGCCAGGGGAGCAAACGGG